ACUCUUCAUAUAAUUAAUUAAAAUGCCUUUAUUUGUACGGAAUGUUCAAUGGAAAGUUUUUAAACAUGGUUUCCAUUGAACAUGCCAUACAAAUGAAGGCAUUUUAAUGAAUGAUAUGAAGAGUUCUGUGGUCCUCCUUACUUUUUGACAUACUGUAUAUAGUCCGGACUGAAACUAUUUUCAGGCGUCGUCUAAAAUGGCACCCUAUACCCUAUUUUUUUUUUUUUACCAGGGCCCAUAGUUAUAUGGUUAAAAGGCUCUGGUUAAUAGUAGUGCACUAAAUAGGGAAUAGGGAAUUUAGGACUCAUUUGAUUACAUGAUGAUGGCUAAUAAUUCCACUAUUAACAACAACAAACCAACAUGCUCCUCUGAGACCAAACCUUUCCUUGAGGUUUAGUUGAACAUAUUGGUACAUUAUGCAGACACGUAAAUACAAUGUGAUAUCAUACAAUAUAAACACAAUUCAAUUAUAAGAUCAGCCUAACUACAUGGACAGAUGUUUGGUGUCUUGUAGUAUUUCUUCAACUUAGAGAAAAUAAUCCUUUAUUGUUUAUUCAUAAAGAUCAUGAUCCCACCCUGGACCAGGAGGACCCAGUCCUUGUUCAGUUUGUGGAUGAGGAGGUUGGGCAGCGGCCCUGUCUGGCUUUAGUCCCUUGGUCUGGACCUCUGUGGGUUCCCAGCUCUCUGACUUAUUACCUUACCCUUGCUGGGAGGAUGUUAGUGAGAGAGCGGGCAGUGUUAAACACACAGAUUUUCAUGAUGGAUCAGCCUGUUCUCAUCUGUUUCACUCCUGUUGGGAGGAUGGUGUGGGAGGAACUGUCUUCUCAAACUGAACAGCCAAAUAGUGAAGACUCUGGUUUUCCCUAUGAGAAGAUGCAGCUGGUUGGGAACUGGGGUUCAUUUCAUUUCCAUACCUGGAUAAUCCGUUAUGGACGAGUGCAGCAAAAUGAAGAGGACAUGCAUCACCUGUGCAUUGUGAGGGGAGUGGAGAAACAGCUGUGGUGGAGCAGAGUCAUUCAGGAAAAAAUCCUGGACCCAUGGGUGAGAGAUUCUCAACUGAUCUUUCAUCUCAA